AGAACCUCAGCCCCACAGUUUCCCCCCCGGACCCUCAGUGCCAUAGUCCCUGCCCAGACCCCCAGCCUAAUAGCUUCCCCCCCAGAACCCAGCCCCAUGGCAACCCCCCCGGACCCUCAGCCCUANGACCCUCAGCCCCAUAGAUCCACACCCAGACCCUCAGCCCCAUAGCCCCCCAGCACCCACCAGCUGCAGCACUUCAUACAGCUUCUCACUCAGCACCCCAAACACCUUCUCACUGGCAAAUGCCUGCAGAAAACCCCUUGUGAGCUCUGUGUGUGUCGGCGUGUAUGUGGGGGGGGAGGGGUUUGAAGACCCCCCCCCCCACCCAGGGGCCGCUCCAUGGCUGCACCCUCACCUCUUUGUACGCCUGCAGGUAAGACAGCACCUGCAGGAAGUGGUGCCGGGCGGUGGCAUCCGACGGCACUUUGCCGAAGCAGAGCAGAGCCGGCUGCGUCAGGUUCACCAUCAGCCUGGGAGGGGGGGGUGGGAGGACUCGGGACCGCUGCCCACGUGGGACCGCAGCCCCCGCACCAUCCCCGCAGCCCCCCGGUACCUGACGACGGCAUCGAAGAGGGUCCGGUCCUGCGGGUAUUGCACGAGCAGCGGCACCAGAUCGUUCUGCAGGAUCUGCGCUGCUCCCAGCUGCUGCCGCACGUCGCGGCUCUCAUCCUCGUGCCGGAGGUACCGGAUCAGGUCCUUCACGCUCUCUGCGGGAGGGGCGGUCAGAACACCGCAACCCCCCGGUUUCCUCCCCCCCCCCCUUCCCUCCCCGUGCCGUACCGAGGCAGUCGGGUUCGCGGUGGUACGCAUCGCCCUCCAGGUAGCCCAGGGCGCUGCAGGUGGCCAGCAGCUCGCAGUUCAUCAUGUACCAGUCCAUGCAGCGCUGCGUGGGAGCGGGGCAGCCGGGCAAGACCCGGCGGGGCGGAGCGGCCCGACCCCGGUCCCGGGGCACCGGGCGGCUCUGAGGGUCCGGAUCCGGAUCGCAAUCCCAAUCCCAAUCGCAAUCCCAAUCGCAGUCCCGAUCGCAGUCCCGAUCCCGGUACCGAAAGCCCCCAGCCCCGCACGCUCCCGCCGCCGCCGCCGCCGCCGUUACACAACCGUCCCAGUUCCCGCGGCUCCCGCCCCGCCCCGCCNNNGGGGGGGGGGCGGCCCUACAGCCCCUGCGUCUUCAGCUCCAGCGGUUCCGCCGGCGGUUCGGGGGGCGGCACGGUGGCGGGCGGCUCCCCCCGCAGCACGGCCAGGCGCUCCGCCAUGCUGCGCGGCCGCGGACACAGCGCCAGCUCGUACAGCAGAGCCGCCAGCGCCGCGCCCAGCAGCGGACCCGCCCAGAACACCUGCGGGGGGCGGCGUGGGAGGGGGCGGCCGCGGGGAUCCCCCCCCACCCCCACCCCGAGAGAGGGGCGGCCGCGACCCCCCCCCGGCGGGGGACCCGGGGAGGGGGAUCCGUGCGGC
rnacentral:lncRNA from 1 species